AACUCCCGCCGCCGCUACCGCCGCCGCCGCUGCUGCCUCAGCCGCCGCCGUCACUGGAACGCCGCCACCACCGCCUCCUGCUCCGGAACCCAAGGGCUCACACCCGGGCGAUUGUGCAUUUUCUUCCCAAAAAUUACAAUUACAGAGUCAAUCGGUUGCAGUCACUGUUCACUCCGCGUUCGCUCGGUGGUGUAACGUUCACUCAAUUUUUUUUUCCCUCCCACAUCGUUUCUCUUACACGAUUUUUUUCAGCCUCUCAUACAAAAGGAGGCUUUAAUUCUUUUUUUUUUAUCCUAUUUUUUCACAGCGAUCAACCUCGCCUCGAUCAUUAUUUUCAUCAUUUUUUUCCGCAUCGAGUAUUAUAAUUCUUUGUUCAUUUAUUCGUUCGUCCAGCAAAUCGCGGAGAAUAUCUAACAUUCAAUAAUAUUUGCUAAUUUUGUGCAAUUUGUGCAACGGCUCGAAUAUUUAUUGCGACACUUAUCCAAAUUGAUCUUGUUUAUCGGUGAUUAGUCGGUCAUGUGCCGAAGACACAAGGAUUAUAUCGUAUCGACAGCGAGAGUGAUUACUUGGUGUGCUGAGAAUGAAGAAUAAUCAUGCAAGUGCAUCUCAAAAUAAAUCAUGAAAAACGAUCGCGCGGUAUGAAAUGCUGCUGGGACCUUUCAUGUAAUCAUGGUGAUGCUACGAAAAUCAAUCGAUCGCGAUUAAUUGGUGGAUCACUUCAUUUGCUCUUCUUCCCCAUGAUGAAACCCGAUUUUGUGGGAUAAUUCGACGCAUAUAUAUAUAUAUAUAUAUAUAUAUAUAUAUAUGCGCACCACGUAAUGCCUCUGCGAAUGUGAGAAUCGACGCGUACCUCUUAAGAUUACCGUCAUCGUUGAACCUGCUAUACACGCUAAAUAGAUGAAAUACAGUUGAUCUUCCGAUAAAAAUGGGCUGGUGAUAAUGAAUUUCGCAAUGGACGAUUGGACACGACGAUAUAGUUGUUCACUACGCACACGAACGAAUAUGACGAUAAAAUCAUCGGACUAAAAGUUAUUACGAGUAUCGAUUGGUAAAAAAAUCUAAAGUGCACUUAUACAAGCGUAUAAAUGAAUUCGAUGCAUAUCGUCGCUGUUGAUAUACGGGAUCGUAAAAAUCUGCUAUUACGACUUGUCCCUAAAGUCGAUGCAAUUGCAUGUGCUAGGCGGUCGAUAUUCCGAUAAAAUAAUUUAGGGAUAGUUUUUAUUAAAUUAAUCAUCGUCGUUUUUUUGUAAGCCUGCAUGGACGCUGCGUCGAUUAAAUCCGAUGGAACCUGUUGGCGGGGGGAGGGUGGUAUAUGUAUCGGAUUUUAAGAAGAGAGGCUAAACGACGACACUGGAUUCUCCGAGAGCCUCGCGGACUUUCGAUGCUUCAAUCGUGUUGGCCCAUUUCGAAAUGCAAUUUACCCGCGGAUGAUUAACAGCAUUACCGACACGAACUCCUGGCGGUACUCGAUGAAAAUGGUGGUAGUGCUUAUCGGUCCGUUCCAUCCGAAUGAGAAGAAUCCGUAAAAAAAUUGAGUGAAAAUCGUACAAGGUUAAAAAAUAGCGAGACUGAAAAUUUUUUAUCAGUAAAAGUGCAUGGGAAAUCGUCGAAACCUGAUAAGAAGAACCCGGCGGCAAAAAACACGCUCCGGCAAAGAAAAAAUUUAUUUCGUUUGCGUAUUUUCGAAAUUAUCGAAAUACGCUAUUGAACGAAAUGAUGUGACAACAAAAAGCAAGUCCAUCGAGAUAGGAAGCGCGCGAGCACAUGAAGAAUAAGCCAGAUAAAAGAGAGAGAGAGAGAGAGAGAGAGCAGGGAGGAGAAAAGCAGCGGUGUUGGGGAUAUAAUUCGACGCAAGUCGAGGGAAGAACAUGUCGAUCAACGACAGUGCCAUAUACCUCCUUAAUUGGGACGAUACUUCAUUAUUGGCUCGUGAUUUGAACAAAUCCUUCUAUAACACGAGUUAUAACGAAAGAAACGAAACAUCGGAUGACUUUUGGGAUCUGGCUGGUGAUCGAGCUUGUCUCGCAGCGCUUCUAUUAUUGUUUUCCAUGGUUACGGUAUUCGGCAAUAUGCUAGUAAUAUUCGCGGUAUUCAGAGAACGUUAUCUGCAUACAGCUACGAAUUAUUUCAUAACGUCCCUGGCAUUCGCCGAUUGUUUGGUCGGCCUGGUGGUAAUGCCGUUCAGCGCGAUCUACGAAGUACUGGAAAAUCGUUGGUUAUUCACGACCGAUUGGUGCGACGUGUGGCGUUCGCUCGAUGUAUUAUUCUCAACCGCAUCGAUACUGAACCUCUGCGUCAUAAGCUUGGAUCGGUAUUGGGCGAUAACUGAUCCUUUCACUUAUCCAACGAGAAUGAGCCGUAAAAGAGCAUUCAUGCUGAUUGCUGUAGUAUGGAUAUGUUCGAGCGCCAUAUCCUUUCCUGCGAUCGCGUGGUGGCGCGCCGUCAGAACCGAACAAGUGCCAAAAGACAAAUGUCCGUUUACCGAUCAUCUCGGUUAUCUCAUAUUCUCGUCGACUAUUAGCUUCUACCUGCCGCUCUUCGUAAUGGUUUACACUUACUACAGGAUAUACAGAGCUGCUGUUAUACAAACGAGGAGCUUAAAACUCGGUACGAAGCAAGUCAUGAUGGCAUCUGGUGAGCUUGAGCUGACUCUCAGAAUUCAUCGCGGUGGCGCUACCAAUACUGAUGCAAGGCAUCUCUUUCGUACUGCAUCAAGUACACCCGAAGAUCUUCAGGAUCUCGAGGAGCCUCUCACCGCAAUUCAUAACAAUGGUCUUACGAGAAUGCCCUCUACGAGAAUAAACAGCAAACAACAUCUUGGCAAGAAUUUUUCAUUGUCGAGGAAACUCGCAAAGUUUGCUAAAGAGAAAAAAGCAGCUAAAACAUUGGGCAUCGUCAUGGGGGUCUUUAUCGUCUGUUGGCUACCUUUUUUCGUGGUCAACCUGCUCUCCGGUUUCUGCAGCAGAUGUAUAUGGCAAGAAGAAAUCGUCUCAGCAGCCGUUACGUGGCUCGGAUGGAUCAACAGCGGUAUGAAUCCCGUCAUCUACGCUUGUUGGAGCCGAGAUUUCAGACGGUCCAGCGAGAUUGCACGUCGCCAAACCCCGGGUUAAGAGGUCGUCGCAAGGAGGAUCUUCUUCAUAUUCCGAUAACUUAUGUCCUUGCGGACGCUUCGACAGUAGCCUGCUCCGUAAUCCAAGAUCUACCGCGUUAUACGCACCAAGUUCGUUAUUAUCGAGGUACAUGGAUCAAUUACCUGUUACCGAGGCGAUGCUCGAAGGAGCCAAGCGCGCAUGCGAGCUUUUGCCAGAAUUCUCUGCGUAUGCUGCCCUCGCAGAAUGAGGCGGAGAUACCAGCCAGCCUUCAGAUGUAAACCUAGCCAGUACGCAACAGGAAUGGGAGCAGGUGGACAGGCGAGCAGCGUCAGCUACAGUAGCG
rnacentral:misc_RNA from 1 species